CAGAGGAGCAGUGCUGCUUUGCUAUAACAGCUAGGAAACUGACAUGAAAUAACAUUACCCUGUAGUCUAUUUUACGUUUAAUGUGGAAUAAGCCCUCAGUCUGUCCCCCCUCUCAGUAGCGUUAAGGUAAUAAUUAAGAACUUCCCUUUGCUGUAUAAAGUGGUAAAAACAUAAAGCAGUAAAUCUUCCAUUAAAGUCCUUGCACAUGUCACCUAAACCAGCCUAGUAAAGUGUGCCAUGUGUUUUACUUUAAUCAGGGUUGUCCUAGUGAAUUCUUAUCAUAUUCUUUAAAGUGACCCAUGGGACGUUUGACUGCAGUCUGCUGAGGACCAGCAGCACAACAUGAGGCUGGUAAAUAUUUAAUAUAGCAUUUGUUUGGGGAAUUAGUUUUUCAGUAGCAUUAUUUAUGCUAUAAAUUUAAGUCCAUGAUUUUUACAGAAAGACAUAAGGCUAUUAAGAUCAGGAAGAAAAGUUGGAAAGCUUAGCUUCAUGCUGUAGGCUGGAGAACAAAAGUUAGGGCAUGGAUUUCAGUGGCUGUUAGUAUUUGAAGUUACUUCUGUUGGUUGUGAACCAGCUUUGGACUGUGCCAGCAAGUUUUUUUAUUCCGUAAGAAGUGCAGCAUUUUAAGACCAUUUUAAAAUGAACUAUGUGGAAGGAGAAUAAAAUGAUACUGGUGUAUCUUUCACAGUUUCAGGAACAACUGAGUAUUCAUAAGUAUGGUGGAAGCUUCAGGGCCAAAAGAAGUUCAGCUGUGAGGUCAAACAGAUUUUCUCACAUGGAAGAUCGAUAUGCUGCUGUGCCCACCCUUGACAGAUGUCUCUGUGAGGCUAGCUCUUCCUAAUAGUGCUGCAUUUUCUAUGUCAGUAUUUCUCAUUUUCCUUAAACAGUCCAGAAGGGAGUGGCAUCCUAGUGGCAUCCCUAACCCUGGCUUUCCAGGUGUGAAGAUUCUGUGGCCAGGGUUAAGUGUGGCUGGCUGUAGUGGGCAAGGAACUCCCAGCUCCUGGAAGAUGGGUACCAGGCCUGGCAUGUGAGUGCUCUCUGUGGGCCAUGGCCACAGUGACCUGAAGGGACAGCGUGAGCAGGAGCUUUCUCUGACUGCUCCUCUGAGGCAGAAACCACUUCAGUGGCACGGAUUCUCCUGUUAUUGAAGAAUUUACCCUCAAGCUUUUACUGCACGCAGCCUUACUGUGAAGACUAGCCACAGCAAGCAUCAAGGUGCCUUUUGAGGCAAAGCCAGUAGCCAGAGUCACAUGGUUCAAAGAUGAUAUUGAGGUGACAGAGGAAGAGAAAGUGGUGGUGGAGAAAACCAGUAACUGUGUCAAAACUAAAACCAGCAACCUCUGAAACAGGUGUCUCAGCCUCAAGUUGUAGAUGUCAGGAAAGAAUCUGUACCCAUCACCUGGAACUCCGCAGCCCUGGAUGGAGGCUCCCCAGUGAAAGAUUACGUUAUAGAAAAAAGAAAGAAGGGCAGCAGUCUUUGUUUCCCAGUCACCAAAGAGCCAGUCCAAGGUCAGACUAAGAUUACUAUCUCUUUUAUGUAGGCAAAAGGACAAUUAAAUAAGCUUUGAAUGAAAAGUGGAGUUUUGAUUAAUCAAGGAAAACUUAUUCAUGACAUCCAGCAAAAUACACCUUUUGACAUACGCUGUUCAAAGUGAAAUUUUCAGCCCUCAAAUAAGAAUGGCUUGAUACCCAUGAGGGGGGCAAACACUUAGCAGCUCUGAAAGUCACAUCUAUGGAUUUGGGUGCCUAAUUUCAAACAUUUUUUUUACAUUUCUCCCUAUAUAAAUUUGACUGCUUUUACCCAACUUAGACCAGAACUGAAUUAAACAAGUGACUGAUUUUGUUGUAUCCAUAUAUUGGGUUUGCAUGGCAAAGUUUUGGUCGCAGGGUAGGCUAUACGGAUGAUUUCUGUGAGAAGGUGCUAGAAGCUUCCCUUAUGUUCAGUAGAGCCAAUGCCAGGUGGCUCCAAGAGUGACCCACUGCUGGCCAAGGCUGCGC